GCCCGGGUGGCGAAACUGGUAGACGCGCGAGACUCAAAAUCUCGUUUCCGCGAGGAAGUGUCGGUUCGAUUCCGACCCCGGGCACCA
rnacentral:tRNA from 1 species